AGCAGCCGCGGUAAUUCCAGCUCCAAUAGCGUAUAUUAAAGUUGUUGCAGUUAAAAAGCUCGUAGUUGAAUUUCGGGGUUAGUAGGUUGAUCGUACCACUGGUAUGUACUGGCUCUACUGAUCCCUCCUUCUUGUAGAACCGUAAUGCCAUUAACUUGGUGUUGCGGGGAAACAGGACUGUUACUUUGAAAAAAUUAGAGUGUUUAAAGCAGGCUAACGCUUGAAUACAUUAGCAUGGAAUAAUGAAAUAGGACGCUCGAUCCUAUUUUGUUGGUUUCUAGGAUUGACGUAAUGAUUAAUAGGGAUAGUUGGGGGCAUUAGUAUUCAACUGUCAGAGGUGAAAUUCUUGGAUUUAUUGAAGACUAACUACUGCGAAAGCAUUUGCCAAGGAUGUUUUCAUUAAUCAAGAACGAAAGUUAGGGGAUCGAAGACGAUCAGAUACCGUCGUAGUCUUAACCAUAAACUAUGCCGACUAGGGAUCGGAUGAUGUUAAUUUUUUAAUGACUCAUUCGGCGCCUUACG
rnacentral:rRNA from 1 species